AUUGAACGCUGGCGGCAUGCCUUACACAUGCAAGUCGAACGGCAGCACGGGAGCAAUCCUGGUGGUGAGUGGCGAACGGGUGAGUAAUAUAUCGGAACGUGCCCAGUCGUGGGGGAUAACGCAGCGAAAGCUGUGCUAAUACCGCAUACGAUCUACGGAUGAAAGCGGGGGAUAGCAAGACCUCGCGCGAUUGGAGCGGCCGAUAUCAGAUUAGCUAGUUGGUGGGGUAAAGGCCCACCAAGGCGACGAUCUGUAGCUGGUCUGAGAGGACGACCAGCCACACUGGAACUGAGACACGGUCCAGACUCCUACGGGAGGCAGCAGUGGGGAAUUUUGGACAAUGGGCGCAAGCCUGAUCCAGCAAUGCCGCGUGCAGGAUGAAGGCCUUCGGGUUGUAAACUGCUUUUGUACGGAACGAAACGGCUCCUUCUAAUACAAGGGGCUAAUGACGGUACCGUAAGAAUAAGCACCGGCUAACUACGUGCCAGCCGCCGCGGUAAAAC
rnacentral:rRNA from 1 species